rnacentral:rRNA from 1 species
AAUAGAUACCCGGGUAGUCCACGCCGUAAACGAUGAGUGCUAAGUGUUAGAGGGGUUUCCGCCCUUUAGUGCUGAAGUUAACGCAUUAAGCACUCCGCCUGGGGAGUACGGCCGCAAGGCUGAAACUCAAAGGAAUUGACGGGGGCCCGCACAAGCGGUGGAGCAUGUGGUUUAAUUCGAAGCAACGCGAAGAACCUUACCAGGUCUUGACAUCCUCUGACAACCCUAGAGAUAGGGCUUCUCCUUCGGGAGCAGAGUGACAGGUGGUGCAUGGUUGUCGUCAGCUCGUGUCGUGAGAUGUUGGGUUAAGUCCCGCAACGAGCGCAACCCUUGAUCUUAGUUGCCAUCAUUCAGUUGGGCACUCUAAGGUGACUGCCGGUGACAAACCGGAGGAAGGUGGGGAUGACGUCAAAUCAUCAUGCCCCUUAUGACCUGGGCUACACACGUGCUACAAUGGACGGUACAAAGAGCUGCAAGACCGCGAGGUGGAGCUAAUCUCAUAAAACCGUUCUCAGUUCGGA